UAAACGACUCUCGGCAACGGAUAUCUCGGCUCUGGCAUCGAUGAAGAACGUAGCGAAAUGCGAUACUUGGUGUGAAUUGCAGAAUCCCGUGAACCAUCGAGUUUUUGAACGCAAGUUGCGCCCGAAGCCAUUAGGUUGAGGGCACGUCUGCCUGGGCGUCUCACA
rnacentral:rRNA from 1 species